rnacentral:rRNA from 1 species
AAUGAACGUUGGUGGCGUGGAUUAGGCAUGCAAGUCGUGCGAGAAGGGGGCUUCGGCCCCCGGACAGCGGCGAACGGGGUAGUAAGGCGUCGGAACGUGCCCCGAGGUCCGGGAUAGCGGCGGGAAACUGCCGGUAAUACCGGAUGACCUCUUCGGAGCAAAGGUGUGACUCCGCCUUGGGAGCGGCCGACGUGGUACCAGCUAGACGGCGGGGUAAAGGCCCACCGUGGCUGUGACGCCUAGGGGGUGUGAGAGCAUGGCCCCCACCACUGGGACUGAGACACUGCCCAGACACCUACGGGUGGCUGCAGUCGAGAAUCUUCGGCAAUGGGCGCAAGCCUGACCGAGCGACGCCACGUGCGGGAUGACGGCCCUCGGGUUGUAAACCGCUGUCGGGGGGGAUGAAGUCACGGGAGGUACUCCUCUCGUGUUGACAGAGCCCCGGAGGAAGCGCGGGCUAAGUACGUGCCAGCAGCCGCAGUAAAAC